rnacentral:rRNA from 1 species
AAUAGAUACCCCGGUAGUCCUGGCCGUAAACCAUGGGCACUGGGUAGGGGGCUCGCCGAUGGGCCCCCUGCCGCAGCGAAAGCGUGAAGUGCCCCGCCUGGGGAGUAUGGCCGCAAGGCUGAAACUCAAAGGAAUUGACGGGGGCUCACACAAGCGGUGGAGCAUGUGGCUUAAUUCGAGGCUACGCGAAGAACCUUACCCCGGGCUUGACAUGCACGGAUUAGCAUCCUGAAAGGGAUGUGACGCCCUCGGGUGGAACGUGCACAGGUGCUGCAUGGCUGUCGUCAGCUCGUGCCGUGAGGUGUUGGGUUAAGUCCCGUAACGAGCGAAACCCCUGCGACCAGUUGCCAGCAUUAAGUUGGGGACUCUGGUCGGACCGCCGGCGUCAAGCCGGAGGAAGGCGGGGACGACGGUCAAGUCAUCAUGGCCCUUAUGCCCGGGGCUGCACACGUGCUACAAUGGGCCGGACAGAGCGUCGCCACUGCGCAAGCAGGAGCCAAUCGCAGAAACCGGCCCCCAGUUCGGAUUGCGGG